UCUACAAUUUUUUUCACCCAUAUGGAGUAUUCUGGUGCCUUUUUUUUCCUUCUCUCAAGAUCAAAUGGCUCCUAUUCUCAAUCUGUUGAGAAUUCUACAAGAUCAGUACAAAUACAACUCUUCCAAGCCUUAUCCAAGCAGGGAGGAGUAAACUUAACAAAAUUACAGAAAAGACAUAUAGAAAACACACAACAACUCGAUUGGAAGAGGAACAAACCUGGAAUUCAGUUUCGAGGGAAACGGGGAUGUAAUUCUGUUUUGAGCAGAGCAGCAACGACACAAGCACGAAGACACGAGCAGGAGAGGAACGUGAAGAUUAAGCAGUAAGAACAAAAAGAGCAGCUUGAAUACAUCAGUGAAAAAACGAUAUUACUUAUAGAAUUGUCUAGCUUGGUGAAAAUUGUUAUGUAUCUCAAGAAAAAUUGUUUACAAGAAAGAUAGGACUAUUGUUAUUGUUGAUAAGCUACCAAAUUACCUGCAGCUACAUUUUCUAGGCUAUAGGUCCCCAUUUUAUGAAGGGUUACCUGUAGUUAUUGUUUAUAUUGUUUGGUAGAAUAAUACUUUCAAUAUGGCCUA